rnacentral:rRNA from 1 species
AUUGAACGCUGGCGGCAGGCCUAACACAUGCAAGUCGAGCGAGCGGCGGACGGGUGAGUAAUGUCUGGGAAACUGCCUGAUGGAGGGGGAUCACUACUGGAAACGGUAGCUAAUAACGCAUACCAUCAGAUGUGCCCAGCUGGGAUUAGCUAGUAGUUGGGGUAACGGCUCACCUAGGCGACGAUCCCGAGCUGGUCUGAGAGGAUGACCAGGCAAACUGGACAUGUGAGACGGGCCAGACGCCUACGAGAGUGAGCAGUGGGGAAUAUUGCACAAUGGGCGCAAGCCGGAUGCAGCCAUGCCGCGUGUGUGAAGAAGGCCUUCGGGUUGUAAAGCACUUUCAGCUGGGAGGCGUUAGCCGCAGAAGAAGCACCGGCUAACUCCGUGCCAGCAGCCGCGGUAAUAC